rnacentral:rRNA from 1 species
AACGAACGCUGGCGGCAUGCCUAACACAUGCAAGUCGAACGAGCCCUUCGGGUCUAGUGGUGCACGGGUGCGUAACCGGUUGGGACAUGCCCUUAGGUUCGGCAUAACUCCCCGAAUGGGGUGCUAAUACCGGAUCAUGUCUUCGAACCAAAGAUUUAUCGCCUUUGGAUGGGCCCUCGUUGGAUUAGCUAGUUCUUAGGCUAAAAGCCUACCAAGGCGUGGAUUCAUAGCUGGUUUGAGAGGCAGCUCAGCGACACUGGGAGUGAGACGCGGCCCAGACUCCUACGGAAUGCACCAGUGCGGAAUAUUGGAAAGUGGGCUGAGGCCUGAAGCAGCACGGCCGGGAAAGUGAUGAAGGUCUGGGGGUUGUAAAGUUCUUUUACCCGGGAUGAUAAUGACAGUACCGAGAGAAUAAGCUCCGGCUAACUCCGUG